CCAGAGCCUGUUUCACUUCCCCAUGGUUAACAUUCUUAUUUCUGCCUUAGCCGGGCCUUUGCUCGUCCUUACUAUAGCCCUAAUUCUUGACCCCUGUCUAGUUAAUCGGCUCUUUGACUUUGUUAGAUCCUGUAUUAAUUUAGUUAAGUUACUGUUGGUUAGAGGUCCCCGUUAUCAGACCCUGGUGUCUGCCUUCUUUGCACCCUAUAAUGAGGCAGCCCCCACCACGUCAAGGGUGUGACAUGGUACACAAAAGAAGUGGGGAAUGUAAUGCAGAACAUUAUUUUACCAUUUAGGUAGUAGAACCCUUUAGGCCAUGGAAAACUCCAAAUUCCUUAGCAAGACCCUUAUCUGGCUGCUCAGGCCACAGCCCUCAGAUCAUAUCUCUGGAAGCCUCCAUUGUGAGAAAGUUUGCACAGCAUUAUCAUAUCUACACAGAGGGAGAAGGGUGUCCUUGACCAGCUCCCAAAAAAACCUCUUCCUCUUGCCAGACUUCAAAGAUCCAUCCCCCUCCCUGUCCUGUAUACUCCCUAUAUAAACCCUAGCUCAACCCUUGAUGGCUGCUGCUUGAUUUGGAUGUGAAUAUCCCUGGCAGCUGCGUGCUAAUAAAGUCCACAAUUUAAAAUUAGCUAAUUUCUGGGUAUAACACUUCAACCUCCUGCUGAGGCAUAAAUGUUGAUAAAGCCAAAGCCUCAGAUAAGGAGAUAAUCUCUAGCCUGUGGGCAGAGCACUUGUUGCCUCAGUGCUUUCUACCCUCCCACUCCCCACCCCUUGAGAACAGCUGAUCUCCCUCCUCACUCAUCCCUGGAGAUGAGCGACUGGCUAAGAGUAUUUAGGUGUCACACAUGGAAAAGAGAGACAGACAGUUUCAACUUCUUGUCCAUCUCUUCUUCCCUUUGAGAAAACCCAGUCCAGGGAUUCCUCAGAGACUGAAUGAUCUGCUUCCCACUGAUAAAGAAGGCCCUCUUUGGGCUUUUCUUCUUGAUACUAACUGUUUCCUCAGGUCUUUCCAGAAAGGAAAGUCAAAUAGACCUGGCCUGAUGUAUCUAUUCUUCGAUUUAAGCACUUUGGUCGGUGCUGACUCCUUGGGAUUUUAAAGCCUGUGCACUGCCAUGACUUCUAAGGCUUGGUAUAUCCUAUACCAGUCAUGUUCUCCUCACUUGGUACCAGGAAAUUGAUAGUUAUUAAUUCUUUUUUGUCUGAAUAUUGUAAGAAAAAGCAGUGUACUUUGUGCUUAUUUUCACAAAUAAAUAACAUUAAAUAUCUG
rnacentral:lncRNA from 1 species